rnacentral:rRNA from 1 species
UACGUAGGGGGCUAGCGUUGUCCGGAAUCAUUGGGCGUAAAGAGCGUGUAGGCGGCUCGGUAAGUCCGCUGUGAAAGUCCAGGGCUCAACCCUGGAAUGCCAGUGGAAACUGUCGAGCUAGAGUCCGGAAGAGGCGAGUGGAAUUCCUGGUGUAGCGGGUGAAAUGCGCAGAUAUCAGGAGGAACACCAAUGGCGAAGGCAGCUCGCUGGACGGUACUGACGCUGAGGAGCGAAAGCGUGGGGAGCGAACAGG